AUUCUUUUUUUCAGAUCCUCAGAGAGUUCUUUGCCAUGAGGUGCCAUGUUGAACUUCCAGUGACCAGUAUGAGGGAGUGUGAGAGCGAUGACACCAAAUUCAACACACCUGCUCCCCAUUCAGACCUGAGACCUUGCAACACUAACAAGUCACAUGACACCGGAUCUCCAGCAGUCGGUCAACUUCAGCCUGGGCCUUCCCAGACUCCUCUCUGUGCCUGGCCACAUCAGUUUCAAGUGAGGCAAUUCUCUUGGAGAGCUCUGAGUUGGCCUGUGCCUCAACAGCUGCGUUCUGGGCCUGAACGGAUCAGCCAGAUGUUAACAGCAUGAGUAUUAUUCAUGGCUUAACAUUCAACAGUAUCUAUGCCAUUAUCCUCUUCAAAUUCCACCAUAACCAAUAAUGUCAGUAAUAACACUCAUUCCCCCUUUGCCAACACCACCUUUCUCUGACCCUCUCUUACCCUCUUUAGCUGGUUCUCCAGUUUAGAGCACUCUUCCCUCCUUUGCUCAAGGGCAAUCUCCAGAGUUUUCAGUUUGGAGUCUUUUUUUAGCCCAGAUGAGGCUAAGGAUGAUGCAUGCUCUUUAAGGUCCAGCAAAGAAUUCUGCACAGACAAUAAAGAAACAGAACGGCAUAAAUUAAGCUUAAUUCUAGGCUGAACCGGUUGAAAAUUGCUAUUAGUUGUGUAAUUUUGAUGAUUUGGACUUCAGCAUGUUUUAUAUGCUGUGUAUAUGCCGUGACUGAAGACAGUAAAUUUUACUGCAUAUUUAUUCCCUUUAUAAAUUUCAACAUAUUUUCAGUCUUCAGUCCAAGGAUUUUCAGUCUUCACUGGCAGCAUAUUUUAGUUUAUAUCUUUAGUUCAGGGUUAACUCUCCCUUGUAUACUUUAUGGGAUAUAUGUUUGCAUUGAUGUGUCCAUUUGGGGGUAGAAUUCUGUCACGAAUUCUACCUCUCAGUGCACACUGCCUUUCCCAGUGCGACCCACAUUUUCAUUAUAGUUCGGUCUCCAACCAUGUCCUGUCAUUUGUUUGUUGCCCUACUGCUUUCAUCUGUCCUGUGUUAAAUCUUUAAUCUAUUUAUACCCUGUUGUGUCUGAGUAUCUUGCAAAACCUUAUUUGUCUGCUCUGCAUUUUCCUAGUUUGAGUACCCUGUACUUCUUGGGUUUGAUCAUUGCUUGUGUUCUACUUUUCAAUUAACUGUUUUUUGCUUUUUCUGUAAUAAAGUUUCCACUGAUUUAACA